UCCUACGGGACGCAGCAGUGGGGGAUAUUGCACAAUGGGGGCAACCCUGAUGCAGCGACGCCGCGUGAGCGAUGGAGUACUUCGGUAUGUAAACCUCUUUUGUCAGGGAGCAAAGUCACCCACGUGUGGGUGUUGGAGAGUACCUGAAGAAAAAGCAUCGGCUAACUCCGUGCCAGCAGCCGCGGUAAUACGGAGGAUGCGAGCGUUAUCCGGAUUUAUUGGGUUUAAAGGGUGCGUAGGCGGGUUAUCAAGUCAGCGGUAAAAUCGUGGAGCUCACCUCCAUCCAGCCGUUGAAACUGAUGAUU
rnacentral:rRNA from 1 species